rnacentral:rRNA from 1 species
ACCUACGGAGGCAGCAGUGAGGAAUAUUGGUCAAUGGUCGGGAGACUGAACCAGCCAAGCCGCGUGAGGGAGGAAGGUACAGAGUAUCGUAAACCUCUUUUGUCAGGGAACAAAGGCGGGGACGUGUCCCCGGAUGAGUGUACCUGAAGAAAAAGCAUCGGCUAACUCCGUGCCAGCAGCCGCGGUAAUACGGAGGAUGCGAGCGUUAUCCGGAUUUAUUGGGUUUAAAGGGUGCGCAGGCGGUCUGUUAAGUCAGCGGUCAAAGCCCGGGGCUCAACCCCGGCCCGCCGUUGAAACUGGCAGUC